GUGUUGCUUCGGCAAUACAUCUGCUAAAAUUGGAGCGGUACGGAGGAGAUUAGCAAAGUCCCUGCGCAAGGAUGACAAGCAAAAUCGUGAAACGUUCCAUAUAUAA
rnacentral:snRNA from 1 species